rnacentral:tRNA from 1 species
GCGCCCGUAGCUCAGCUGGAUAGAGCGUUAGACUCCGGAUCUAAAGGCCGUGGGUUCGAAUCCCGCCGGGCGCACCA